rnacentral:rRNA from 1 species
GGUCAAUGGCCUAACGGCUGAACCAGCAAUUUGGAAGAAUGCUACUUAUUAGUUAUUUAAGUAAUCAUUAAUUUUGAAUAUAGUUCAGGAUAAAAAAUUGAUAAUGACAAAACUUUAUCUGUUUGUCUUGACCAAAAUUUGUGCCAGCAGUCGCGGCAAUACAAAGAAGACAAGUGUUAAUCAUCUUAAAUUGGUUUAAAGGGUACCUAGACGGUAAAUUAGGCCAGGUUUGGUACCUUUUUACUAGAGUUAUACAAGCAAGGGGAUUGUGUUAGAAUUAGCAGAGUAGAGAUGUAAUUUUUUGAUACUGUUGAGACUGGUAAAGGCGAAAGCAAACCUUUAUACAAUAACUGACGUUGAGGGACGAAGGCUUGGGUAGCGAAUAGGAUUAGAUACCCUAGUAGUCCAGGCAGACAAUUCUGAAUGUCAUAGGUUAUAAUAUUAUAGUCUAUAAAUGAAAAUGUAAGCAUUCCACCUCAAGAGUAAUGUGGCAACGCAGGAACUGAAAUCAUUAGACCGUUUCUGACACCAGUAGUGAAGUAUGUUGUUUAAUUUGACGGUCCACAAAGAACCUUACCACAAUUUGAAUAUCUAUACUAUAUAUAAAUUAUAUUUAUAUAUAUAUUUAUACAAGUGUUGCACUGUUGUCUUCAGUUAAUGUUGUGAGAUUUUGGUUAGAUUCAAUAAAUUAACGUAAUCCUAUUUUCUAUUUAACUAUUAAUAGAUUAGUCAGAUCAAAAAAUUCUUUGGUUAUUGAUAGGUGGGAGUAAGACAAGUCGUAAUGACCUUAAUAUUGUGGGCUAUAG